rnacentral:rRNA from 1 species
AUUGAACGCUGGCGGCAGGCUUAACACAUGCAAGUCGAACGAUGAUUAUCUAGCUUGCUAGAUAUGAUUAGUGGCGGACGGGUGAGUAACAUUUAGGAAUCUGCCUAGUAGUGGGGGAUAGCUCGGGGAAACUCGAAUUAAUACCGCAUACGACCUACGGGUGAAAGGGGGCGCAAGCUCUUGCUAUUAGAUGAGCCUAAAUCAGAUUAGCUAGUUGGUGGGGUAAAGGCCCACCAAGGCGACGAUCUGUAACUGGUCUGAGAGGAUGAUCAGUCACACCGGAACUGAGACACGGUCCGGACUCCUACGGGAGGCAGCAGUGGGGAAUAUUGGACAAUGGGGGCAACCCUGAUCCAGCCAUGCCGCGUGUGUGAAGAAGGCCUUUUGGUUGUAAAGCACUUUAAGCAGGGAGGAGAGGCUAAUGGUUAAUACCCAUUAGAUUAGACGUUACCUGCAGAAUAAGCACCGGCUAACUCUGUGCCAGCAGCCGCGGUAAUACAGAGGGUGCGAGCGUUAAUCGGAAUUACUGGGCGUAAAGCGAGUGUAGGUGGCUCAUUAAGUCACAUGUGAAAUCCCCGGGCUUAACCUGGGAACUGCAUGUGAUACUGGUGGUGCUAGAAUAUGUGAGAGGGAAGUAGAAUUCCAGGUGUAGCGGUGAAAUGCGUAGAGAUCUGGAGGAAUACCGAUGGCGAAGGCAGCUUCCUGGCAUAAUAUUGACACUGAGAUUCGAAAGCGUGGGUAGCAAACAGGAUUAGAUACCCUGGUAGUCCACGCCGUAAACGAUGUCUACUAGCCGUUGGGGUCCUUGAGACUUUAGUGGCGCAGUUAACGCGAUAAGUAGACCGCCUGGGGAGUACGGCCGCAAGGUUAAAACUCAAAUGAAUUGACGGGGGCCCGCACAAGCGGUGGAGCAUGUGGUUUAAUUCGACGCAACGCGAAGAACCUUACCUGGUCUUGACAUAGUGAGAAUCUCUCAGAGAUGAGAGAGUGCCUUCGGGAACUCACAUACAGGUGCUGCAUGGCUGUCGUCAGCUCGUGUCGUGAGAUGUUGGGUUAAGUCCCGCAACGAGCGCAACCCUUUUCCUUAUUUGCCAGCGGGUUAAGCCGGGAACUUUAAGGAUACUGCCAGUGACAAACUGGAGGAAGGCGGGGACGACGUCAAGUCAUCAUGGCCCUUACGACCAGGGCUACACACGUGCUACAAUGGUAGGUACAGAGGGUUGCUACACAGCGAUGUGAUGCUAAUCUCAAAAAGCCUAUCGUAGUCCGGAUUGGAGUCUGCAACUCGACUCCAUGAAGUCGGAAUCGCUAGUAAUCGCGGAUCAGAAUGCCGCGGUGAAUACGUUCCCGGGCCU